AGCAGCCGCGGUAAUUCCAGCUCCAAUAGCGUAUAUUAAAGUUGUUGCAGUUAAAAAGCUCGUAGUUGAACUUCGGGGUCUACCCAUUGGUCAGGCUUAAUUGUCUGCACUGGUGAGAUGGAUCUCUACCUUCUGAGGAACUUUCAUGCCAUUUAUUUGGUGUGGUUGGAAAUCAGGACUGUUACUUUGAAAAAUUAGAGUGUUUAAAGCAGACUAUCGUCUGAAUACAUUAGCAUGGAAUAAUGAAAUAGGACGGACUGAUUCUAUUUUGUUGGUUUCUAGGAUCGACGUAAUGAUUAAUAGGGAUAGUUGGGGGCAUUAGUAUUCAAUUGUCAGAGGUGAAAUUCUUGGAUUUAUUGAAGACUGACUACUGCGAAGCAUUUGCCAAGGAUGUUUUCAUUAAUCAAAGAACGAAAGUUAGGGGAUCGAAGACGAUCAGAUACCGUCGUAGUCUUAACCAUAAACUAUGCCGACUAGGGAUCGGAUGAUGUUAUUUUAAUGUA
rnacentral:rRNA from 1 species